rnacentral:lncRNA from 1 species
AACCUCAGCCUGGCCCCACAGCAGGCCCGGGCCUGGCCCUACAACCUCAGCCUGGCCCCACAGCAGGCCGGGGUCUGGCCCCACAACCACAGCCUGGCCCUACAACCACAGCCUGGCCCUACAGCAGGUCCGGGCCUGGCCCUACAACCACAGCCUGGCCCCACAACCACAGCCUGGCCCUACAGCAGGCCUGGGUCUGGCCCUACAACCACAGCCUGGCCCUACAACCUCAGCCUGGCCCUACAACCACAGCCUGGCCCUACAACCACAGCCUGGCCCCACAACCACAGCCUGGCCCCACAGCAGGCCCGGGCCUGGCCCCACAACCACAGCCUGGCCCCCUAAAGCCCCCUCCCGGCUCCCCGGAGGCCCGGAGCCGCUCGCACCGCCGUCGCUGAAGUCGCGGGCGACGUUUCUGCGGGGCCGGGAGAGGGGCACGGUGUCCAGCCAGCCGUACAGGGCCCGCAGGCCGCCAUCGCCCGCCGCUCCCGGGCCUAGGCCUAGGCCCGCCAUGGCGCCCGCCGCGUCGCCAUGGCAACGGGGCCGCGCGGGGCAUGCUGGGAGCGCGCCGAGGGGU